rnacentral:pre_miRNA from 1 species
ACAAUAUUUGGACCGUCGGUCUACCGAAAAAUUUCAUCAGGUCGGUGGAAGAGCUUCCCUUUUUCAU